UACGUAGGGCGCAAGCGUUGUCCGGAAUUAUUGGGCGUAAAGAGCUCGUAGGCGGCUUGUCACGUCGGGUGUGAAAGCCCGGGGCUUAACCCCGGGGUCUGCAUUCGAUACGGGCAGGCUAGAGUGUGGUAGGGGAGAUCGGAAUUCCUGGUGUAGCGGUGAAAUGCGCAGAUAUCAGGAGGAACACCGGUGGCGAAGGCGGAUCUCUGGGCCAUUACUGACGCUGAGGAGCGAAAGCGUGGGGAGCGAAC
rnacentral:rRNA from 1 species